GGCUGGGCUCUGAGCCUGCAGGAGAAGCUAAAAGACUAAUUAAUCUGAUGCUCCGAGAAUCAAAAACAGGUUCCUGAAAUGGCUCCUGAACUACAGAUUCACCUCCAUGGACCCAGUGAUCUGAGUGUGAGAUAAAUGCCCUACAGGAAUCACACCGGAGGAACAAAAGCAAACAGAGCUAUGGUUGGAGAGGAAAGCAGUGAAGGAGCCUUACUCGACGGGCUUGUCAGAACAAGCACUGCUGUCUCCACUGUGCACGUGAAGAAACUGAGGCUCAGAGAGGCCAUGGCCUGUCUAGGUUUUCCCGGAGAAGGGCCAAGCACAGACUACAGGAGCUGCUGUGUGGGGUGGGUGUCAUUGUGACCAACAGAGUCAGCACACUGAAGGAAGAGCCCGAACGUCAGCAGCCACUUCUCAGCCAAGCACCCCAGAGAGCACAAAUAUGUGAGA